rnacentral:rRNA from 1 species
CUAAGACGAGGGCGAAAGCCGUAGUCGAUGGGAACACGGUUAAUAUUCCGUGACCUGAUGGUUGUGACGGAUGGCUAGCAUUGUACACACUUAACGGAUUGUGUGUGCAUCAAGGCCGUUCCAGGAAAUAGCACCAUCAUUAAGACCGUACCCCAAACCGACACAGGUGGGUGGGAUGAGAAUUCUAAGGCGCUUGAGAGAACUCGGGUGAAGGAACUCGGCAAAAUGACACCGUAACUUCGGGAGAAGGUGUGCCCAUUUGAGUGAAGGACUUCGCGUCUGGAGCUUAGGUGGGUUGCAGAAACCAGGGGGUAGCGACUGUUUACUAAAAACACAGGUCCGUGCCAAGUCGCAAGAC